rnacentral:rRNA from 1 species
AGUGAACGCUGGCGGUAGGCCUAACACAUGCAAGUCGAACGGCAGCACAGUAAGAGCUUGCUCUUACGGGUGGCGAGUGGCGGACGGGUGAGGAAUACAUCGGAAUCUACUUUUUCGUGGGGGAUAACGUAGGGAAACUUACGCUAAUACCGCAUACGACCUACGGGUGAAAGCAGGGGAUCUUCGGACCUUGCGCGAUUGAAUGAGCCGAUGUCGGAUUAGCUAGUUGGCGGGGUAAAGGCCCACCAAGGCGACGAUCCGUAGCUGGUCUGAGAGGAUGAUCAGCCACGCUGGAACUGAGACACGGUCCAGACUCCUACGGGAGGCAGCAGUGGGGAAUAUUGGACAAAGGGCGCAAGCCUGAUCCAGCCAUACCGCGUGGGUGAAGAAGGCCUUCGGGUUGUAAAGCCCUUUUGUUGGGAAAGAAAAGCAGCAGGUUAAUACCCCGCUGUUCUGACGGUACCCAAAGAAUAAGCACCGGCUAACUUCGUG